rnacentral:rRNA from 1 species
AGAGUUUGAUCAUGGCUCAGAUUGAACGCUGGCGGCAUGCCUUACACAUGCAAGUCGAACGCGAAAGGGGGCAACCCUGAGUAGAGUGGCGAACGGGUGAGUAACGCAUCGGAACGUGUCCUGUAGUGGGGGAUAACCCACCGAAAGGUGGGCUAAUACCGCAUACGACCUGAGGGAGAAAGCUGGGGACCCGCAAGGGCCUGGCGCUAGGGGAGCGGCCGAUGUCCGAUUAGCUAGUUGGUGGGGUAAAGGCCUACCAAGGCGACGAUCGGUAGCUGGUCUGAGAGGAUGAUCAGCCACACUGGGACUGAGACACGGCCCAGACUCCUACGGGAGGCAGCAGUGGGGAAUUUUGGACAAUGGGGGCAACCCUGAUCCAGCCAUGCCGCGUGAGUGAAGAAGGCCUUCGGGUUGUAAAGCUCUUUCAGCCGGAACGAAACCGCGCUUUUGAACAGAGGGCGUGAAUGACGGUACCGGAAGAAGAAGCACCGGCUAACUACGUGCCAGCCGCCGCGGUAAUUC